UAGCUUAUCAGAGUAACUAGUUGGCACCUUAACAGGCAUGCAGAAUCUGACUCAGGAACAGAGACUCAAGAGAACUAAGGUGCAGUAGGAAGCAGGUGGCAGAGUGAAGAUCUUAAAGCCAAAGUGGGAGCUCAAAACCAGGAAGGAGCCAGGCACAGUGGCAUAUGCCUGUGGUCUCAGCUACUCAGGAGGCCAAGAUAAGAGGAUCACUUGAGCCCAGGAGUUUAAGACCAGCCCCGGCAACACAGUGAGACCUCAAAAACAACCCAGUUAUGGCAUGAGAAUCUGGCUGGAUGUGCUUCACCACCACCCAGAAGAGCCCCAUGGGGAUGUAGAGAUUAAAUCCAAUCAUCUCUAAGGUCCAUUCCCAACUGGAAUUUUAGAAUUUCAGAAGCAGGAACAUUUCCUACCUAUAGUUGAGCAGUUUCAUGCUACAUCAUGGUGGAUCCCUCCCAAGUCACCACUGCCUAACAUUCCACAGAAUAUAGUUGAAAGGUAAACUUCAGGGAACACAGGGGCAUCUCUUUCCCUAUAAUUGGCAGGAAAGGAGCUCUAGAAACAAAAGGUUCAAGAUGGAAGGAGGUAUUGCUUGGAGGGGGGCUGCCCGUGGGAAUAGGGAACAUGCAGACAGAGAGGGUCUUCUUUCCGCCUUCUUCUCUUAAGCCAGAGUCCCAUCCAAAUGUAGCUAAGGUAUACAGAAGUGUAAGGGGGAAGGGUUGUGAUUAGAGCCUGAGUGAUAAGGGUCACUACUGGGGGCUCAACUUCCUUGAGUGGACUGCUCUUCCCUCAACUGUGCCUAGGUCAGGCCUACUUAUCAGAAACCUUAAGGGGAGGCUGGGUGUGGUGGCUCAUGCCUAUAACCCCAGCACUUUGGGGGGCCGAGGCAGUUGGAUUGCCUGA
rnacentral:lncRNA from 1 species